AUUAAAUACAGCAACAAUGCUAACAGAUUAUAUAUCAUUUAUAGGCAAUCAACCUGGAAGUUUCUACAGUAAUGUAGAUCAAUAUAUGCCGCCUGGAGCUUGUAGCAGUAAACCUUGUGACCAGUAUUCGGUAUGUGUGGAAUCACCACCUGGUCCACCUGGAUAUGUUUGCAACGUAGCAUAUUGCCCAACACCUACUACCAACGUCUAUGUUCAUGUUACGCCGGAAUAUGACCAAUCGGUCACUUUAUGGCCUGUUGGAACCAAUCUAAACUUUCAAUGCUGGACUUCUUACUAUCGUUCAAGUAACUGGACAUGUUUAAACAA